CUAGAGGCUUGGUCCAGUGGAGAGUUAACUUUUUGGCAGGACCACUUUAUAGAUGGUAGAGUGUGCUUCCAUCUGUCUUUGUGAUGUUAGCAGCCUUUGGUGCUCAUUGACCAGAUUCAUCAUUCCACUGGAGGUUGUGAAGAGGUGAUCGUCCAUCACGCCCUCUUCACUUUCUAGCAGAAUACUUCUAUAAAGAGAAAUGACUUCUCAUGAACUCCUUGGUUAUCUUAAAAAGAAUUCACCAUUCUGGAAGCAAGUUCAACUCAAGCUGACUUCCAGGCAAGUGAAGCAGAUGAUGUCUGUGACCUCCAAAGCUAUGUGCAGAAGAAAACCAUGUGGACAGCCAUUGCAGAAGCCCUCAGGCGGUCAGGCCUUUCUGGUGAAGCAGGCAACCCUUUCCAGAGAAGGGAAAUGUUCUGGCUUUGCUAGUCAGAUGAGCAGAAAUGUCUAAAGCUGGGGUUAAGAUGCGGGGGAAGAUUGUCUGCCAAGAACUGUAGUAUAGAUCUGGGAACAGUGUGGAGAUUUGAGUAUCGCUAUUGUUAUUAUUAGUGUUAUUAGUAUUCUUUGGUCUCAGGAUCUUACCUGUGCUAGGCAAACACUCUAUCCCCAGCCUGUUUUCAAAUUUUCAUUUGGAGAAGGAGUCUUCCUUGAUAAGUUCCUUAGGUUGGACUAAAACUUACUAGGUAGCCCAUUGUCGGCUCCCUGCCUCAGUUUCCCAAGUAGCUGGCAUUCUGGGUACCUACCACCAUGGCUGGUUUGCAAAAUCUUUGCACACAUUCAAUUGAAAAUAUCAAUUUGAAAGAUCUAGAAGGCUCUUCUAGCUGUUGAAAGGAAGGGGCCUGGGCAUGGUAGUUUG